ACCCUUUUUAACUCUCCCCCAAAAAACACCACUAUUAAUAUUUAUAUAUCACGUGCCUUAUCACAUGACCCUCUGAAGAUAUUGCACUGUUCCAACAAAUCUGAGAGUCAGUUCCAAGUUCCAACAUGUAACACGCACAGAGCACAGUCAACAUUGAGCACAUGAUCCCACUGUCCUCAGAUCCCUAUUUUAUACUUAGAUUUUUACAACUUUUGAUUUAGGAAGACUCCCUAUAUAAUAUCUUUAAUCAUAGGCUUGAAAGCCAUCUUCCCUCACCAAUAAGGCAAAGAAUCAAACACUCUCAGUUUGAACAAGCAGGGAUACCAGAAGCAACCAUGAAGGCUUGGUCUAGAGCACUGGCAGCUCUCACUAUGGCCCUUUCACUCAUACUAUCAUUCUUGCCUAAUGGGUACCAAGCAAAUGCUCGUCCACUAACACAACCACCUUCCUUCUCAGUAUCAUCUUCUCAAGCUCUUAAAGACUUGCAAGGGAAAAGAAAGAUUCCUGAUAAGCAGCUGGACUCGAGCUUUCGAAAGAUACCUCCAUCUACUUCAAAUCCCACACAGAAUAAGUCCACUCCUCCAUCUGACGGCAGCUGAAGUACAGAACAAGGAAUACUAGAUCCUCAACAAUAUUAAGUUUUCUUUUUCAUUUGUUAGAAGUAGGGCGGUAGUGUUUUACUCGGACUACAACAGUGUUUGUGAAUUGCACUCUGUAAUGCAUUCACAUUUUUUUUAGCUAACACAGGCUGUUCAGUUUUGGUGUUGAAUGAAUAUUUAUAGUUAUUGGAUGUUCAA